CCUACGGGGGGCAGCAGUGGGGAAUAUUGCGCAAUGGGCGAAAGCCUGACGCAGCGACGCCGCGUGAGGGAUGAAGGUCUUCGGAUCGUAAACCUCUGUCAGCAGGGAAGAACGGUCACUGUGCUAAUCAGCAGUGAAUUGACGGUACCUGCAACGGAAGCACCGGCUAACUCCGUGCCAGCAGCCGCGGUAAUACGGAGGGUGCGAGCGUUAAUCGGAAUUACUGGGCGUAAAGCGCCCGUAGGCGGUAUGUCAAGUCAAGGGUGAAAUCCCCGCGCGCAACGUGGGAACUGCCUUGGAUACUGGCAAACUGGAAUGUGUGAGAGGAUAGAGGAAUUCGAGGUGUAGGAGUGAAAGCCGUAGAUAUC
rnacentral:rRNA from 1 species